AUGAUUAACACAUUUCAGAUCUAGAUUCAAGAAAAUCACAAAAAAUUUCUCUCAAACUUUUUUCCAAAAUUCUUCAAACAAGAACACUUUCUUUUGCUCAAUUCAUCAUCAUGAAGUGUUGUUGAGUAGAAUUGGAUGUGGAUUUAGAAGAAAUCGUGGCAUAUUGAGCUAGGUUCAAGGUGUGAAGCAUCCAUGGCAGUUGGAGAUU
rnacentral:lncRNA from 1 species